GGGUUUGACAUGUACGUGUUACUGAUCUGAGAGGAGAGGGACCCAUGCUUCGGUAUGGGAGCGUACACAGGUGCUGCAUGGCUGUCGUCAGGCUCGUGUCGUGAGAUGUUGGGUUAAGUCCCGCAACGAGCGCAACCCUGCAUCCAGUUGCCAUCGGGCGAGCCGGGCACUCUGGAGGGACUGCCGGCGACAAGCCGGAGGAAGGUGGGGAUGACGUCAAGUCAUCAUGGCCCUUAUGUCCAGGGCGACACACGUGCUACAAUGGCCGGCACAGCGGGAAGCGGAGGGGCGACCCUGAGCGGAUCCCUUGAAAGCCGGUCCCAGUUCGGAUUGCAGUCUGCAACUCGACUGCAUGAAGUUGGAAUCGCUAGUAAUCGCGGAUCAGCCAAGCCGCGGUGAAUACGUUCCCGGGCCUU
rnacentral:rRNA from 1 species